rnacentral:lncRNA from 1 species
UAAAAUGAAUAAUAUAUUAUUCAUUCAUAUCGAAAGAAAGUACAGUACAAUAUGAAUUGGGAAAGAUGACCCCAAUGUGUAUAUACUAAUGUAAUGGAACCCAAACUAUAACUAUCCUAUAAUAUAAGGAAAAAGACUAACAAACUAUAUUCAACUAAUUAACAUAAUAAAAUAGUGAAUAACUAUAGUUUACAGUAAGGAAUAGUCUCUUUUAAUAAUUGAGAUAUAAUAAUAACUUGAAUCUUUUCCAUGCAAGGAAAAAGUAUAAACUAAUUUGCAAAAGAGGAACUGGUAAGAAAGCCUGGACAUGCUUUGAGAUUCAACCUGCUAUACUAUGUUUUUGUUCCUGUCUGGAGCAACCUUAAAUUUUAUUCAUCUACCUAUGCUUCAUUUCCUUCUUUUUCUGUCACAAAACAA